UCCAGAUUAUGGCAGUUAUUAAGUGUGCUGAUUUUUCAAAAUCAUAGCAACAUAAUAUAGGGGUCUCGCCCGUUACUUGUCAGUUAAGCAAAUAUUACAAAACACGGGCUUGCAACAGCCAUGCAACUCACGUUGCUACUUCGCAUAACCAAAGGUUUACUUUAGUUACGAACCAGCCUCUUUAAAAGCCUGGCACACGUAGCAUUUCACCGACUGGUAAGAUUAAAAGCGAAGUAUCUUAUUAACCAGCAUACCCCACUGCUUGCAAAUACUUCCGUCAAUUCCUUAGGUUUUAACCUUGCGAUCUUAGUUCCUGGGCGGAAUAUUUACCGCGUUAGCUUGGAUACCGGAUAGUUCCGACAAAACCCAAAAUUCAUCGUUUACAGCUGGCCUAC
rnacentral:misc_RNA from 1 species